rnacentral:misc_RNA from 1 species
UAUCCCCUCGCUCCCCUUACACUUGUGUGAGUCGGCUGCCCAGCUCUGGGCUGGCUUGGGAGCGGAUGUGGCUUUCCCACGAUUCAUUCGUGGGAUGGCUGAAAAGCAGAGGCUAGAGCAUGGACCCGCUUACGGGCUCAACUGGAUAGGUAGGCCGGUGCGCGCUUCAUUGCGUGCGCCCACUACACGAAGUUGACGCUUGUGGUGCAUGCUGGCGGCCUGCAGGAAUCACUGCGGAGGAGGGCGGUGGCUACACCGUAGCCGCCAUCGCCCCGCAGUGAAUACCCAACC